AUUGAACGCUGGCGGCAUGCUUUACACAUGCAAGUCGGACGAGUGGCGAACGGGUGAGUAACGCCUCGGAACGUACCGAGUCCUGGGGGAUAACUGUCCGAAAGGACAGCUAAUACCGCAUAUUAUUCGAGCGGCCGAUGUCUGAUUAGCUAGUUGGUGGGGUAAAGGCCUACCAAGGCGACGAUCAGUAGCGGGUCUGAGAGGAUGAUACGACACACGGGGACUGAGACACGGCCCAGACGCCUACGGGAGGCAGAAGUGGGGAAGUUUGGACAAUGGGCGCAAGCCUGAUGCAGCCAUGCCGCGUGGAUGAAGAAGGCCUUCGGGUUGUAAAGGACUUUUGUCAGGGAAGCGGUACCUGAAGAAUAAGCACCGGCUAACUACGUGCCAGCAGCCGCGGUAAUAC
rnacentral:rRNA from 1 species